GUUUGAUCAUGGCUCAGAUUGAACGCUGGCGGCAUGCCUUACACAUGCAAGUCGAACGGCAGCACGGGAGCAAUCCUGGUGGCGAGUGGCGAACGGGUGAGUAAUAUAUCGGAACGUGCCCAGUAGUGGGGGAUAGCCCGGCGAAAGCCGGAUUAAUACCGCAUACGACCUACGGGUGAAAGCGGGGGAUCGCAAGACCUCGCGCUAUUGGAGCGGCCGAUAUCAGAUUAGCUUGUUGGUGGGGUAAAAGCCUACCAAGGCGACGAUCUGUAGCUGGUCUGAGAGGACGACCAGCCACACUGGGACUGAGACACGGCCCAGACUCCUACGGGAGGCAGCAGUGGGGAAUUUUGGACAAUGGGCGCAAGCCUGAUCCAGCCAUGCCGCGUGUGGGAAGAAGGCCUUCGGGUUGUAAACCACUUUUGUCAGGGAAGAAACGGCUCUUACUAAUAUUAGGAGCUAAUGACGGUACCUGAAGAAUAAGCACCGGCUAACUACGUUCCAGCAGCCGCGGUAAUACUUAGGGUGCAAGCGUUA
rnacentral:rRNA from 1 species